AAAACUGGAACAAUGCAGAGAAGACUAUCAUGAACCCUGUGCAAGAAUGACAUGCACAUUCAUGAAGUUUCAUAUUUUU
rnacentral:snRNA from 1 species